GUCAGGUGUCUGAGGAGACUCCCCUUCCUCAUUAUCUUCGAUCUCUGCAUCUUCAUCCACUGUAUUUACCACAUCUUGUCCAGGAAGCCGCUGUUGCAGUGGCACCGCAUCACUGAUGACUUGAUCAGUUCUUAAUCUCUCCUUCGGUUUCAGUCUUGCGUGCUGCUCUGCAAAGAAGAAAUUAUAGCCACUUCUGUUAGGUUUUGGAUGAGCCGGGUCCCUCCUCUUUAUUUCACAUUUCUUCCUGCGGCGGCGUCGAUGUGUUCCCGGUACUGCAGUAGCACUGUCAGUUUUGCUAGCAAAGACACCAUAGUUCUGUGGCAAUUUCUGCACUGUGUUCUGUGGUGCGUGAUAAAGCACACCUUUAAGCUUCUUUGAACCUAUUGUGACAGUAACAAGGUACCCACUUUCGAAUUUCCCAUCGAUGACCCCUACCACAGUUGAAGCUACUGUUGCUGCAAAACACAAACGAGAGUAAAUGGCUUUUAAUUACCAACUGUUUCCUCAAAUUCUCAAAGGAAAAAUAUAGUUGCAAGCACAAUUGUGCACUAAUCUGUGCACCAAUGUAAUGUGAUUGGUCAAAAAGUAGAUUUUAUUGAAAACAGUGUUAAUUUAAAUUUUAAAUAUGAAUAAAUCAUUAUUGAUACACAGAUUAGUGCACGACUGUGCUUGUAUGUAGCAAAACUCAUUCUCAAAUUAAGUAUUAUUG